UAAUAUUAGGUUCAUAUAAGGAAAAAAUAAUAAUUGUGUUGUUAGUCUAGAAGAAUCUGGUUCUCUCUAUCUGUAACCAAAAAUAAUAAAAAAAGUAAAAAAGUCAGAGCGACACAGCUUGCAUAAGCAACUCUUCUUCAAAUCAGUGAGUCGCCAAUAGCCAGGUAUGGUUUCCUUUUAAUAUUUGGUUGAAGUUUUAUCUGUUUCCUUUCAUUUUUUCAAUUUUCGAUUCACCUUUGUUUGAUCUGUUUUAUAUUUUUUGCAUUUUUGAUCCCACUCGACUUUAUCAACAAAAAAUUUCUCAAAAGAGUACCUCCUCGAUCAAUGGAGACUUGAACAGUUUUCACCAGUGUUAGCUGCAUAUUGACAAAUUUAAUCUUAAAUUAUUAUCACCAAGUUAGAUUUAGUUGUCAAUAACCUAGAAAAUUUCAAUUUGAAACCCAAGCUUCAACAAUGGUGGAAUUCGAAGUUUUUCACCAAAGAAAUUUCAAUUCAAUGUGUUCCACCGAAUCAAAUUUUCAGCUUUCAAUUUCAUCUUUGGAGGUUCCAACCCUAAAUCUCAAAUGCCUAUCAGUACUGAAAUUUAAAAUUGUAAGCUAAAGCAAUUUUUGAACCACCUCUAUCAGUACACAAGAAUCCUAUCAAAGAGAUUCAAUAAUUUAUAUGUAAGCAAAAAAGAUCAAUUUUUUCCCUAGACAGUAUAAAUUUCAACGAAGGAGAUUCAACUGACCCCCCUCGUCCAUCUAACGGUGCCCCUGGAUAUAGGGAGAUCACAAAGGCUAGAGACAAUGGAUCUAUCGGGGAGAAGUUUGUUCAAGAGAGAAACUUAACUAGCCAACAGCUCCCUCUGGAACAAAGUCCCAAAUCUAAUGUAAGCAGAUCCAGACUGCACAAACAUAUCCGUAAUCCGUUCGAGUGAUAACUUGACAAACACGGAUUCAGUAACAACAAUCAGAGAGUUCAGUGUCACAUUUUCAUUAUUAAUAAAUCAAUAUUCGGACUAGAGCCAUUCAGACACCAAAAAGCAAACUGAAAACAUCUGAAUGAAACUCGCAAGUACAUUAAUAAAGAAGUACUGAGGAAUUUCUUCGACUAAUUUUCCGUACAAGGCAACAAGAGAAUCUACAAAAUUGAAACAAGCUCACUAUUUUAGAGAAAAGAUCAUCUCAACAAAUUGACUGGACUCGAAAGAAAAUGUUUUGUUAACGGUUUAGCUGAACGUCUUAUCAAUUUGUUCGUCGAACUACCUUUUUAUGUCUCUAAGGGCAUCAUACCAUGCUUUUAUUCUUCUAACUUCUGGUGAAUCUUCUCUAAAAUUGUCUCCAAUGUCAUAGUGACCAUAACCAUGAAACAAUACGUUAAUCGGACUCUCUUCCUUCUUCCUAUAUUCUUCUCCAUAAUUUGAUAUGUUUAUUGAACUUCCAGAGCUUCUAUCUAACAUAUAGACAUAAAUCGAGGACCUGCAACAAAAAAUUAGGAAACAUAUCAACAAAAUCGGACAACAGAUUCUAAAAUCGAAGCCUUAACCAGCGUCAUCCAGAGAUCACAUGUAGCUACUAAGUUAUUUUCUGAUGAACACUUAUUAUUGACAGACCCAUGGACUUAAGUACAAUAAAGAACCAAAUGAUGGCUCCGGGUAUAAGCGUGUCAUAGAGAUUAGUGUUGAUGUUAGGCUGUUGCCAAGAAUGCAAUGAAGUACAAUGAUGGCAAGUGUGAUGUUCAUCUGAUGGAGAAAAUAUUACUGGAAAAAUUUGAGGAGAAAUGGUUACAACUUCUGCCAAAAGUUAAUGAGAAGGUAACUAUUACUUUGAACAAUUCUGUUCUUUGGUAUGGCUUCCGUAAUUUCUUAAUAUAAUGAUGCUUGUGUUUGGUUGACAAUGAUAUGUAGGUUGUACUCUAUUUGUUCUAGAGUAUUUUCUCAAGUAAUUUAGAGCUCUCAUGGCUCCUGACUGAUAUUUACGAUUCACUAGUUUGUUUUGUGGACAAUGAUAUGUAGGUAGAGUUCAAUAACAGAGGGAGUAGUAUAUUUAGACAAUCUUUUACUUUUUCUUUUUCAUCUCUAAGAAAUAGACGCAACAACUUCUCUUCACCAUCGACUAUCCCUACUGCUCCCUCUCCAGUGCAAUGGCAGACUUUCUUGCCUCUUCUCCAAUAACCGCUACAAUGGCAGACAUUCUUGCUUCUUCUCCAACAAUCGUUGCAAUGGCAAACUUUCUUGCCUCUUCCCCAUCAAUUGCCAUUGGUAAUUUUUAAACUCUUGUAUCCAAAAUUUGGCUGUAAUGUUGAAAUUUCUCAUAUUUGACAGUCAUCUGCUUUCCCUCUUAAAGAAAAAAAAAUGGGCUAUUGAGUUAUCAAGAACAUUUCUUAACUUAAGAUAUCCUGGAUAACAAUGGUUAUAUUUCACUAUUUCUAUAUCCAUCCUAUAAUUAAUUUCUUUUAUAGUCAAAAUUUAUAAAAUAACUGUAGUUGAAAUUCUUUUGUUUUUCUGACAAAAUUUAGUUCAACAUUUGGAGUUGGGGAUUGUAAUGUGUUUUUUAGUUGACCGGUUGUUAGUAUAGUGGUAUCAGAAGUGGUAUGUGUUGCAUCCUAGAGAAAAAUUGUAUCAGUACAUGUCUCUACCAAUAGUUACUGGUAAACCUGAAAUAGUGUGCAAAUUUAUGAAUUGAAAAAUGGUUUUUAGCAGCCAAAAUAGGACUAUGUUUAUUAGAAAAAAAAGAGUGGCAAUUCAGGUAAGAGGUGGGGAAAAGGGGUAGGAACGGUUUUUAAAUAAGAGUCACAAUAUGGUCCUUUUUCAAAAUACUGAGAUAGAAACGACUUAUAUAAUAAAAUUUAGCAAUAUGAUUCCUUUUCAUGAUAAACCCGAAUAUGAUUAUCUCUAUUGUUCUGGCAGCUUUCUUGUGUCUAAUGUUCUUUUGACACACCUUUGGUACUCUGAUACAGAAGCAGUUUGAAAUCCUUUUAGUUAGCUAUAGAGUAAUAAAGAAAAAUUGAAGAUUAGGUUGUUUAAAAAAACAACUGAAGAUUUCAUCUUUGUACAAUAACUCGGAGGCAAUGAAGUACAAAUUCGAUGAACUCAGUGGCAGUAUCAGGUAAACACCAAGCAUGUAAGUUACCAAUUUCAUUUUCUUCCAUCCUAUGCCUCUCUUUUUUUUAAUAUGAAAAAUACUUGCAUAUCUUAAAGGUGACACACAUCUCAUAUGGAGUCUAAUUCUUUUGAUAGAUUUAGUUGUGCUAAACACUCAAAUUGAAAAGGUUACCACUGCUUGACCAUAAUAAGGUGAAUUCUCAGGCUGAAAUUUUAUCUACUCUUGUGAAUAUGAUUGUUAUAUUUUGUGUCUCAUUACUUACUUAAUUUGAAGUAAAAAAGGCAACUAAAAAUAUUAGAAGAAAACUAAACUCUCUGUAUUUCAGAGCUUUAAGAUUUAUAAAUUUGAAAAUCAGUGAUUGGAGUUGUAAUUGAGAGGGAGCAGGGAAGGUAAGGCAGAAAAAGGGAAACUUUGAAAACUCAAAGGGAGAGGAAGGUAAGCACAACCUAACUAAUGGCAAAGGUCGAAUAUAGAGAGUGAUGAAGGGUGACGAGAAAUUUGGUAGUUUCUUCCAAUCAAGUUUCAGAUAUGCAGAAACCAAAGGCAACUCUCAGCCCAUUUGAGUGCACACAAAUAGUUUGUUAUUAUCUCCUGCUCGCUUAAUAUAUGGGUAAUGUUUUAUCUUGGUCCUUAAUAUAUUUCACUUGAUUGAAAUUGUCCUUAAUGUAUAACAAAUGUGUUCAUUUUGGUCUUUAAUGUGUUUUACUUGAUUGAAAUUGUCCUUAAUGUAUAACAAAAUAUUUCCUUCACCCUAAAAUCAAACAGAUUUGUCAAAAAAAAUGUGUUAAAUUCAACUAUGGACCUUACGUUGCUAGUAAAAUUCACCAUUGUUGUGCGGGUUACCUCUCCUAUGUGGUUUGCGAGCUAUUGUAUAGGAGCGGGGGUUUUAUCCUGUGUGCACCCAAAUGAUAGCGGUUGCGGGUUUCCCUUGUCAUAAAAAAAAUCACCAUUUUAUCUUCUUUGUUAGCUCUAAAGAAAGAACUCCAAAAAAACUAACACCAUUUCUCUCUUUCCUAAAAUAUUAUUCCACCGACCAAAUAUUCAUUUCUUUUUUAAGCAAGAGAAAAUAAUAUUUUUUUAUUAAGAUAAAAUAGAGACAAUGGUAUUAGAUAUCACGGAGUUUUUCUUUGGAGCUAACAAAGAAGACAAUAACAAUGGACUUUGUUAGCCACGUAGGGUUCAUAGUUAAAUUUAAUAUAUAUAUUUUUUAUAAAAUCUGUAAAGUUUAGAAUAAAGGACCAAAAUGAACACCUUUUGUUAUACAUAAAGGAUCAUUUC
rnacentral:lncRNA from 1 species